rnacentral:rRNA from 1 species
AGAGUUUGAUCCUGGCUCAGGAUGAACGCUGGCGGCGUGCCUAAUACAUGCAAGUCGAACGAGUUCUGAUUAUUGAAAGGUGCUUGCAUCUUGAUUUAAUUUUGAACGAGUGGCGGACGGGUGAGUAACACGUAAACAACCUGCCUUAAGGAUGGGGAUAACAGACGGAAACGACUGCUAAUACCGAAUACGUUCUAAGCAUCGCAUGGUGCAUAGAAGAAAGGGUGGCCUCUACAAGAAAGCUAUCGCCUUAAGAGGGGUUUGCGACUGAUUAGGUAGUUGGUGAGGUAACGGCUCACCAAGCCGACGAUCAGUAGCCGGUCUGAGAGGAUGAACGGCCACACUGGAACUGAGACACGGUCCAGACUCCUACGGGAGGCAGCAGUGGGGAAUCUUCCGCAAUGGACGAAAGUCUGACGGAGCAACGCCGCGUGAACGAAGAAGGUCUUCGGAUUGUAAAGUUCUGUGAUUCGGGACGAAAGGGUUUGUGGUGAAUAAUCAUAGACAUUGACGGUACCGAAAAAGCAAGCCACGGCUAACUACGUGCCAGCAGCCGCGGUAAUACGUAGGUGGCAAGCGUUGUCCGGAAUUAUUGGGCGUAAAGCGCGCGCAGGCGGUUUCUUAAGUCCAUCUUAAAAGCGUGGGGCUCAACCCCAUGAGGGGAUGGAAACUGGGAAGCUGGAGUAUCGGAGAGGAAAGUGGAAUUCCUAGUGUAGCGGUGAAAUGCGUAGAGAUUAGGAAGAACACCGGUGGCGAAGGCGACUUUCUAGACGAAAACUGACGCUGAGGCGCGAAAGCGUGGGGAGCAAACAGGAUUAGAUACCCUGGUAGUCCACGCCGUAAAC